AUUGAACGCUGGCGGCAGGCCUAACACAUGCAAGUCGAGCGAGCGGCGGACGGGUGAGUAAUGUCUGGGAAACUGCCUGAUGGAGGGGGAUAACUACUGGAAACGGUAGCUCAUACCGCAUACCAUCAGAUGUGCCCAGAUGGGAUUAGCUAGUAGGUGGGGUAAUGGCUCACCUAGGCGACGGUCCCUAGCUGGUCUGGGAGGCUGACCAGCCACAAUGGAACGGAGACACGGCCCAGACGGGUACGGGAGGCAGCAGUGGGGAAUAUUGCACAAUGGGCGCGAGCCUGAUGCAGCAAUGCCGCGUGUGUGAAGAAGGCCUUCGGGGUGUAAAGCACUUUUAGCGGGGAGGCGGUACCCGCAGAAGAAGCACCGGCUAACUCCGUGCCAGCAGCCGCGGUAAUAC
rnacentral:rRNA from 1 species